GAAAAUGCUGUGAAUGGAUGAGUAGUUUUUCAGGAUGUCAAGAAGCGAGCCGGAGGUGGUGAAAGCCGGUGACAGUACAAAAGAUGAAGAUGGUCCAGGAGUGUUUUGAUCGGUGAGCCCAUGGUAAAUUGAUCACGGUUAACGUCCGCUAUUGCGUUGCGCCCCCCCGGUUGGGGUGGCGCUUGAGGGUCCCAAUGGGGCUGAAAACGGGUGGUAACACGGCUCAAGUAGUGCGUCCCAGAA
rnacentral:ncRNA from 1 species